UACGUAGGGUGCAGGCGUUAAUCGGAAUUACUGGGCGUAAAGCGUGCGCAGGCGGCCUCUUAAGUCAGAUGUGAAAUCCCCGGGCUCAACUCGGGAACUGCGUUUGAAACUGGGAGGCUAGAGUACGGUAGAGGGGGGUGGAAUUCCACGUGUAGCAGUGAAAUGCGUAGAUAUGUGGAGGAACACCGAUGGCGAAGGCAGCCCCCUGGGCCUGUACUGACGCUCAUGCACGAAAGCGUGGGUAGCAAACAGG
rnacentral:rRNA from 1 species